AGUGAACGCUGGCGGUAGGCCUAACACAUGCAAGUCGAACGGCAGCACAGGAGAGCUUGCUCUCUGGGUGGCGAGUGGCGGACGGGUGAGGAAUACAUCGGAAUCUACUCUGUCGUGGGGGAUAACGUAGGGAAACCUACGCUAAUACCGCAUACGACCUACGGGUGAAAGCAGGGGACCUUCGGGCCUUGCGCGAUUGAAUGAGCCGAUGUCGGAUUAGCUAGUUGGCGGGGUAAAGGCCCACCAAGGCGACGAUCCGUAGCUGGUCUGAGAGGAGGAUCAGCCACACGGGGACUGAGGCACGGUCCAGACUCCUACGGGAGGCAGCAGUGGGGAAUAUUGGACAAUGGGCGCAAGCCUGAUCCAGCCAUACCGCGUGGGUGAAGAAGGCCUUCGGGUUGUAAAGCCCUUUUGUUGGGAAAGAAAUCCAGCUGGCUAAUACCCGGUUGGGAUGACGGUACCCAAAGAAUAAGCACCGGCUAACUUCGUGCCAGCAGCCGCAGUAA
rnacentral:rRNA from 1 species